rnacentral:rRNA from 1 species
AGUCGUGGGGCAGCAGUCCCGUAGCAAUACGGGAGCUGGCGACCGGCAAACGGGUGCGGAACACGUACGCAACCUUCCUUUAAGUGGGGGAUAGCCCAGGGAAACUUGGAUUAAUACCCCGUAACAUUGUGAGACGGCAUCGUCUUAUAAUUAUAGCUUCGGCGCUUAGAGAUGGGCGUGCGUCUGAUUAGGUAGUUGGCGGGGUAACGGCCCACCAAGCCUACGAUCAGUAACUGGUGUGAGAGCACGACCAGUCACACGGGCACUGAGACACGGGCCCGACUCCUACGGGAGGCAGCAGUAAGGAGUAUUGGUCAAUGGACGCAAGUCUGAACCAGCCAUGCCGCGUGAAGGAUGAAGGUCCUCUGGAUUGUAAACUUCUUUUAUCUGGGAAGAAACCCAUGGUUUCUACUGUGGUUGACGGUACCAGAUGAAUAAGCACCGGCUAACUCCGUGCCAGCAGCCGCGGUAAUACGGAGGGUGCAAGCGUUAUCCGGAUUCACUGGGUUUAAAGGGUGCGUAGGUGGGCAGGUAAGUCAGUGGUGAAAUCUCCGGGCUUAACCCGGAAACUGCCGUUGAUACUAUCGGUCUUGAAUGCCGUGGAGGUGAGCGGAAUAUGUCAUGUAGCGGUGAAAUGCUUAGAUAUGACAUAGAACACCAAUUGCGUAGGCAGCUCGCUACACGGUUAUUGACGCUGAGGCACG